rnacentral:lncRNA from 1 species
GCCCUGUGCCCAGCCCCCGUCUGGCUGAAGGAGAGAGACCACGCCAGAGAGAGCUGAGCAGAAGAGGAGGCCACCGGGCAUGGGGGACCAACUCUAGGAGCUGCCAGCACCUACCACCGCAGGUUCCCAAGCUGUUCCUCUGCUCUGCACAGCCAGGAGCGGAGCCAGCCAAGGAGCGAGACUGGAGUCAAACCGAGAUCCAGAUGCCACGCUGGAAGCAGGAGAGGAGCUGUGGCCAGCGCUUGGCAUUUGGGGCAGCAGCUCAGCCAGCCUGGCUCCCGGGAGGAGCCUCGAGGAGGAGCCUGCUCCUGGAGCAGACAGAUAAAGAGGUGCCGGCCGAGGAAAACAUCACUACAGUCCAAACGGCAGCUGUUUCUUUGGGCGAUUAGAAUUGCAAUUCGGGAGACACAGAUGCAGUGCAUGACUUUGGUCCUCCUGGCCAAAAGAUGGCUGCUGCAGCUCCAGGGUCUGCUCCUAUAUUUCAGCUAGGAAGGAAGAAGAGUGAAGACUCAGAUUACAUAUGCAGAUGUCGUCUUCAGGUCUGGAUGGUGAGCCCUUUGAAGUCAGACUCUCGCUGUCCUGCCAGCCUCCUCCUCCUGGAGAAUUUUUCUUCCCUCCUGUCUUCAGCCAUGGUGUGUUCCUACCGCAGAUGUUUAGUGAGCGCACAGUCGUUGAGAGGGAAGGGGUCAGACUAGGAUCAAAUCCUGGCUCUACCAUUUACCAGGUAUAGUGGUCAGUGCUAAGUGGACAUAAUCAGCACAAGCCCUGCCUUCGUGGAACUUACAGUCUGGAGCUACAACCGUGACCUUGGUUCACCAGCUCAGCUGAUUGUGAUAACACAAGAUUCCUG